CUGAGAAUAUUCUCACAGCUCUGCUUUUGCAAAAAUUAGGACAUGCUAAACUUUCAUUAUAAUAAGAUCAUGCAUGUGUCCCCUAGUUCUUUACCUACCUGGGUCUGGUCUUAGAAACGCUGCUAGAUAAG
ensembl:snoRNA SNORA72 Small nucleolar RNA SNORA72